UACGUAGGGGGCAAGCGUUGUCCGGAUUUAUUGGGCGUAAAGGGCGCGUAGGCGGUUUCUUAAGUUUGAAGUGACAGUGGGUGGCUUAACUACCCAAGGCCUUUGAAAACUGGGGAACUUGAGGACCAGAGAGGGACAUAGAAUUCCGGGUGGAGUGGUGAAAUGCGUAGAUAUCCGGAGGAAGACCAAAGGCGAAGGCAGUGUCCUGGAGGGUUAACUGACGCUGAGGCGCGAAAGCUAGGGGAGCGAACAGG
rnacentral:rRNA from 1 species